UACGUAGGGGGCAAGCGUUGUCCGGAUUUAUUGGGCGUAAAGAGCGUGUAGGCGGUUAGGUAGGUCCGUUGUGAAAACUCGAGGCUCAACCUCGAGACGCCGAUGGAAACCAUCUAACUAGAGUCCGGAAGAGGAGAGUGGAAUUCCUGGUGUAGCGGUGAAAUGCGUAGAUAUCGGAAGGAACACCAGUGGCGAAAGCGGCUUCCUGGUCCGACACCGACGUUCAGGCACGAAAGCGUGGGGAGCAAACAGG
rnacentral:rRNA from 1 species